rnacentral:rRNA from 1 species
GACAGAGGCCUCGAGCGUUAGGCGGAAUCACUGGGCUUAAAGCGUGUGUAGGCGGAUCGUUAAGUGCCUUGUGAAAUCCCACGGCUUAACUGUGGAACGGCUGGGCAUACUGGCGGUCUUGAGCCAUCUAGGGGCGACUGGAACAAACGGUGGAGCGGUGAAAUGCGUAGAUAUCGUUUGGAACGCCAAUGGUGAAAACAGGUCGCUGGGGAUGAGCUGACGCUGAGACACGAAAGCCCAGGGGAGCAAACGGG